rnacentral:rRNA from 1 species
GAUGAACGCUGGCGGCGUGCUUAACACAUGCAAGUCGAACGAAGCAUAAGAGUUGCUUGCAACGCUUAUGACUUAGUGGCGGACGGGUGAGUAACGCGUGGGUAACCUACCCUGUACAGGGGGAUAACAGUUAGAAAUGACUGCUAAUACCGCAUAAGCACACGCUGUCACAUGACAGAGGGUGAAAAGAUUUAUCGGUACAGGAUGGGCCCGCGUCUGAUUAGCUAGUUGGUGAGGUAAAGGCUUACCAAGGCGACGAUCAGUAGCCGGCUUGAGAGAGUGAACGGCCACAUUGGAACUGAGACACGGUCCAAACUCCUACGGGAGGCAGCAGUGGGGAAUAUUGCACAAUGGGGGAAACCCUGAUGCAGCGACGCCGCGUGAAGGAUGAAGUAUUUCGGUAUGUAAACUUCUAUCAGCAGGGAAGAUAAUGACGGUACCUGACUAAGAAGCCCCGGCUAACUACGUGCCAGCAGCCGCCGCUGUAA